AUGGAUGUAACUGUUACCUUUGUACAGCAGGCUAAGAUGCAGCCGUAGGAACGCCAGAGGUUUCUACAUCUACCCAUCUCUAUCCGUGACCAACCAUUUGCCUCUGAGAAACCCACAAGCAGGACUUGAAAGCAGUAGCUACCAUCUCCUGCUGUAUCUCCCAUGCUGUCUCUGAUCCUGGAUGAAAUACUGUAUGCAGCCAACAACAUCGUUAUGACUAAUUCAGCAACGUAUUGCUUCAGGUCCUGUGGCAAGCAGGGAAGAGCUGACCCAACUUCCACCAUAACCUCUGUAUGUGAAACAGCCAGCAAAGAUUUUAUGGUUCCAUUUACCAUAUUUCUUUAUCACGCACCACCUUGAGAAAUGACGAAAUAAAUGAUGUUGCAUUCCGA